rnacentral:rRNA from 1 species
GCGGAUCGCGGCCGCUGCAGAGUUUGAUCCUGGCUCAGGACGAACGCUGGCGGCGUGCCUAACACAUGCAAGUCGAGCGGAGGGGAUAGGAGCUUGCUUCUUGAACCUUAGCGGCGGACGGGUGAGUAACACGUGGGCAACCUGCCUCUAAGAGGGGGAUAACACAGAGAAAUCUGUGCUAAUACCGCAUAAAGCUGGGACUUUGCAUGAAGUAACAGCCAAAGGAGAAAUCCGCUUAGAGAUGGGCCCGCGGCGCAUUAGCUAGUUGGUGAGGUAACGGCUCACCAAGGCGACGAUGCGUAGCGACCUGAGAGGGUGAUCGGCCACAUUGGAACUGAGACACGGUCCAGACUCCUACGGGAGGCAGCAGUGGGGAAUAUUGCACAAUGGGGGAAACCUGAUGCAGCAACGCCGCGCGAGCGACGAAGGCCUUCGGGUUGUAAAGCUCUGUCUUCGCUGAAGAAACCUGACGGUAAGCCAGGAGGAAGCCACGGCUAACUACGUGCCAGCAGCCGCGGUAAUACGUAGAUUGACGAGCGUUGUCCGGAAUUAUUUGGCGUAAAGUAUACGUAGAUGGUAGUUUAAAUUGGAUGUGAAAUCCCUAGGGUUAACCCAGG